rnacentral:rRNA from 1 species
UACGUAGGGUGCAAGCGUUAAUCGGAAUUACUGGGCGUAAAGCGUGCGCAGGCGGUUUAGUAAGUCUGUCGUGAAAUCCCCGGGCUUAACCUGGGAAUGGCGAUGGAGACUGCGAGGCUAGAGUUUGGCAGAGGGGGGUAGAAUUCCACGUGUAGCAGUGAAAUGCGUAGAGAUGUGGAGGAACACCGAUGGCGAAGGCAGCCCCCUGGGUCAAAACUGACGCUCAUGCACGAAAGCGUGGGGAGCAAACAGG